GACAGAGGCCUCGAGCGUUAGGCGGAAUCACUGGGCUUAAAGCGUGUGUAGGCGGGCCCGUAAGUGUCUUGUGAAAUCCCACGGCUCAACCGUGGAACUGCUGGGCAUACUGCGGGUCUUGGGCCAACUAGGGGCAACCGGAACAAAUGGUGGAGCGGUGAAAUGCGUAGAUAUCAUUUGGAACGCCAAUGGUGAAAACAGGUUGCUGGGAGUGUGCUGACACUGAGACACGAAAGCCAGGGGAGCAAACGGG
rnacentral:rRNA from 1 species